UACGAAGGGGGCUAGCGUUGCUCGGAAUUACUGGGCGUAACGCGCACGUAGGCGGCUUUCUAAGUCGGGGGUGAAAUCCUGGAGCUCAACUCCAGAACUGCCUUCGAUACUGGAGAGCUUGAGUCCGGGAGAGGUGAGUGGAACUGCGAGUGUAGAGGUGAAAUUCGUAGAUAUUCGCAAGAACACCAGUGGCGAAGGCGGCUCACUGGCCCGGUACUGACGCUGAGGUGCGAAAGCGUGGGGAGCAAACAGG
rnacentral:rRNA from 1 species